CCUACGGGGGGCAGCAGUGGGGGAUAUUGCACAAUGGGGGGAACCCUGAUGCAGCGACGCCGCGUGGGUGAAGAAGCGCCUCGGCGCGUAAAGCCCUGUCAGCAGGGAAGAAAAUGACGGUACCUGAAGAAGAAGCCCCGGCUAACUACGUGCCAGCAGCCGCGGUAAUACGUAGGGGGCAGGCGUGAUCCGGAUUUACUGGGUGGAAAGGGGGCGCAGACGGCGAUGCAAGCCAGGAGUGAAAGCCCGGGGCCGAACCCCGGGACUGCUCUUGGAACUGCGUGGCUGGAGUGCAGGAGGGGCAGGCGGAAUUCCUGGUGUAGCGGUGAAAUGCGUAGAUAUCAGGAGGAACACCGGUGGCGAAGGCGGCCUGCUGGACUGCAACUGACGUUGAGGCCCGAAAGCGUGGGGAGCAAACAGGAUUAGAUACCCGUGUAGUC
rnacentral:rRNA from 1 species